GGAGGGGUGCGAGCGUUAAUCGGAAUUACUGGGCGUAAAGGGUGCGUAGGUGGGCCUUAUAAGUCAGAUGUGAAAGCCCUGGGCUUAACCUGGGAACUGCAUUUGAAACUAUGGGGCUAGAGUUCGGUAGAGGGAAGUGGAAUUUCCGGUGUAGCGGUGAAAUGCGUAGAUAUCGGAAGGAACACCAGUGGCGAAGGCGACUUCCUGGGCCGCAACUGACACUGAGGCACGAAAGCGUGGGGAGCGAACAGGAUUAGAUACCCUGGUAGUCCACGCUGUAAACGAUGAGUACUAGAUGUUAGGGAGCUUAGACUCUUUAGUAUUGUAGCUAACGCGCUAAGUACUCCGCCUGGGGACUACGGCCGCAAGGUUAA
rnacentral:rRNA from 1 species